AGGCCGACAGGCGUAGGCGAUGGAUAACAGGUUGAUAUUCCUGUACCACCUAUAAUCGUUUUAAUCGAUGGGGGGACGCAGUAGGAUAGGCGAAGCGUGCGAUUGGAUUGCACGUCUAAGCAGUAAGGCUGAGUAUUAGGCAAAUCCGGUACUCGUUAAGGCUGAGCUGUGAUGGGGAGAAGACAUUGUGUCUUCGAGUCGUUGAUUUCACACUGCCGAGAAAAGCCUCUAGAUAGAAAAUAGGUGCCCGUACCGCAAACCGACACAGGUAGUCAAGAUGAGAAUUCUAAGGUGAGCGAGCGAACUCUCGUUAAGGAACUCGGCAAAAUGACCCCGUAACUUCGGGAGAAGGGGUGCUCUUUAGGGUUAACGCCCAGAAGAGCCGCAGUGAAUAGGCCCAAGCGACUGUUUAUCAAAAACACAGGUCUCUGCUAAACCGUAAGGUGAUGUAUAGGGGCUGACGCCUGCCCGGUGCUGGAAGGUUAAGAGGAGUGGUUAGCUUCUGCGAAGCUACGAAUCGAAGCCCCAGUAAACGGCGGCCGUAACUAUAACGGUCCUAAGGUAGCGAAAUUCCUUGUCGGGUAAGUUCCGACCCGCACGAAAGGCGUAACGAUUUGGGCACUGUCUCAACGAGAGACUCGGUGAAAUCAUAGUACCUGUGAAGAUGCAGGUUACCCGCGACAGGACGGAAAGACCCCGUGGAGCUUUACUGUAGCC
rnacentral:rRNA from 1 species